CCUACGGGAGGCAGCAGUGAGGAAUAUUGGUCAAUGGGCGCGAGUCUGAACCAGCCAAGUAGCGUGAAGGAUGACUGCCCUACGGGUUGUAAACUUCUUUUAUAAAGGAAUAAAGUGAGGCACGUGUGUCUUUUUGUAUGUACUUUAUGAAUAAGGAUCGGCUAACUACGUGCCAGCAGCCGCGGUAAUACGGAGGAUCCGAGCGUUAUCCGGAUUUAUUGGGUUUAAAGGGAGCGUAGAUGGGUUGUUAAGUUAGUUGUGAAAGUUUGCGGCUCAACCAAAAAAUUGCAUUUGAUACUGUCAGUCUUGAGUACAGUUGAGGUAGGCGGAAUUCGUGGUGUAGCGGUGGAAUGCUUAGAUAUAACGAAGAACUCCGAUUGCGAAGGCAGCUUACUAAACUGCCACUGACAUUGAGGCUCGAAAGUGUGGGUAUCAAACAGGAUUAGAUACCCCAGUAGUC
rnacentral:rRNA from 1 species